rnacentral:rRNA from 1 species
AUUGAACGCUGGCGGCAGGCCUAACACAUGCAAGUCGAGCGGAGCGGCGGACGGGUGAGUAAUGCCUAGGAAUCUGCCUGGUAGUGGGGGAUAACGUCCGGAAACGGGCGCUAGUACCGCAUACUAUCAGAUGAGACUAGGUCGGAUUAGCUAGUUGGUGGGGUAAAGGCCUACCAAGGCGACGAUCCGUAGCUGGUCUUAGAGGAUGAUCAGUCACGCCGGAACGGAGACACGGUCCAGACUCCUACGGUAGGCAGCAGUGGGUAAUAGUGGACAAUGGGCGAAAGCCUGAUCCAGCCAUGCCGGGUGUGGUAAGAAGGUCUUCGAAUUGUAAAGCACCUAAAGUUAGGAGGCGUUACCAACAGAAUAAGCACCGGCUAACUUCGUGCCAGCAGCCGCGGUAAUAC